ensembl:lncRNA
GCCUCUUCCCAAGACACUGGUGCAAUGCUGCCCCUGAACACAGGGUGAAACAAGGAUCUGGAAAUGAGUACAACCCGUGUCCAGCAGGGAUGCUGACAAGUAGAGGUGGACUCUGACUUGCUGUGUGCUCAUCUGAGAAUUUCAGCAGGGACAAAAGCAUCUGAAGUGUUCAGGAGUUUUUAGGAAAGAGAAGGAAUGUGUGUGGAAAGGAUGGAAAGGCCAACAGGAGGAAAGAAAAAACAGCAAUAUCUCCCAAGAAGGGCAGUGGAGCUGGGGAAGCCUCUGGAGCACCAGAAGUGACUGGAGGUGGGGCUCAGCCUGAAGAAAAAGAGGAUCAGAGGGGACCUUCUCACUCUCCACAACUCCCUGACAGGAGGGUGCAGCCAGGUGAGGCUUUGUCUCUCCUCCUCAGUAUCAAGCAAUAGGAGAAGAGGAACGACCUCAAGUUGCACUCAGGGAGGUUUAGAUUGGGUACCAUGAAAAGUUUCUUCACUGUAAGGGCUGUCCAGCCCUGGCACAGCUGCCCAGGGUGGUGGUGGAGUCCCCAUCCCCAGAGGAGUUUAAAAUAUGUGUGAAUGUGACAGCGAGGGACAUGGUCUAAUGGUGGGCCUGAUAACCUUAAAUAUCUUUUUUGACCUAAGUGAUUCAAUGAAACAUUAAUAAUUUUGCUUUUAUUUUAAAUACACAGCCAUUUCCAGGAGUCUAGUCAGGAGCCAGAGGAUCUGAGAAGUUGUGGUAAAAAAUUGUCAGUUCAUUCAGUGAAAACGUGACAAAAUGGUCUAAGGAUAAGCUGAGUUUCUCCAGUUUCAGUUACCAGUUCUUGGUUUGUGGAGGAUGAAGGAGAUGUUCUUAACAUUGCGCAAAUGCAGAACUGGGAAUUUGACGUGCAGAUCUUCCCUUGUUUGUGAAAAUAUGUGUCUGAACAACCCUGAGAGCUGAAGCGUUGAAAUCCUGGCUGAGAAUAUAUAUCCAGGAUUAGGAACAGAGAACUUCAGUGGGAAAAGUCAUCUGGGAUUUCUUAGACAUUCCUCUGGUUGGAAACUUGGCCAUAAAAAUUCUUCCUUUUUUGUCCCCAAGGCAUUGUUGUCAGACACUUUGUACCUGAAGAUUUUUCUUUCCCAUUAUUGAAGUUUUCCUAACCCAAUGUG